rnacentral:rRNA from 1 species
GACGAACGCUGGCGGCGUGCCUAAUACAUGCAAGUAGAACGCUGAAGGAGGAGCUUGCUCUUCUGGAUGAGUUGCGAACGGGUGAGUAACGCGUAGGUAACCUGCCUGGUAGCGGGGGAUAACUAUUGGAAACGAUAGCUAAUACCGCAUAACAGUAGAUGUUGCAUGACAUUUGCUUAAAAGGUGCAAUUGCACCACUACCAGAUGGACCUGCGUUGUAUUAGCUAGUUGGUGGGGUAACGGCUCACCAAGGCGACGAUACAUAGCCGACCUGAGAGGGGGAUCGGCCACACUGGGACUGAGACACGGCCCAGACUCCUACGGGAGGCAGCAGUAGGGAAUCUUCGGCAAUGGACGGAAGUCUGACCGAGCAACGCCGCGUGAGUGAAGAAGGUUUUCAGAUCGUAAAGCUCUGUUGUAAGAGAAGAACGAGUGUGAGAGUGGAAAGUUCACACUGUGACGGUAGCUUACCAGAAAGGGACGGCUAACUACGUG